GCCAUCUUUGGAUAGCUUCAGUGAACAUUCAACGCUGUCGGUGAGUUUGAGAACUAAGAAAAACCAUCGACCGUUGACUGUACCUUGAGGU
ensembl:miRNA